rnacentral:rRNA from 1 species
UACGUAGGGGGCAAGCGUUGUCCGGAAUUAUUGGGCGUAAAGCGCGUGUAGGCGGCUCGGUAAGUCUGCUGUGAAAGUCCAAGGCUCAACCUUGGAAAGCCGGUGGAUACUGUCGAGCUCGAGUCCGGAAGAGGCGAGUGGAAUUCCUGGUGUAGCGGUGGAAUGCGCAGAUAUCAGGAGGAACACCAAUAGCGAAGGCAGCUCGCUGGGACGGUACUGACGCUGAGGCGCGAAAGCGUGGGGAGCGAACAGG